GUCUAUGGCAUGCCACCUUGAACGUUCCCGAUCUUGUCUGAUCUUGGAAGCUAAGCAGGAUUUGGCCUGGUUAGUACUUGGAUGGGAGACCACCUAGGAAUACCAGGUGCUGUAGGUG
rnacentral:rRNA from 1 species